UAGUUGGUAAGGUAACGGCUUACCAAGGCGACGAUCAGUAGCCGCCCUGAGAGGGUGCUCGGCCACAUUGGAACUGAGACACGGUCCAAACUCCUACGGGAGGCAGCAGUGGGGAAUAUUGCACAAUGGGCGAAAGCCUGAUGCAGCAACGCCGCGUGAGUGAUGAAGGCCUUCGGGUCGUAAAACUCUGUCCUCAAGGAAGAUAAUGACGGUACUUGAGGAGGAAGCCCCGGCUAACUACGUGCCAGCAGCCGCGGUAAUACGUAGGGGGCUAGCGUUAUCCGGAUUUACUGGGCGUAAAGGGUGCGUAGGCGGUCUUUCAAGGCAGGAGUGAAAGGCUACGGCUCAACCGUAGUAAGCUCUUGAAACUGGGAGACUUGAGUGCAGGAGAGGAGAGUGGAAUUCCUAGUGUAGCGGUGAAAUGCGUAGAUAUUAGGAGGAACACCAGUUGC
rnacentral:rRNA from 1 species